UUUCUAUUUGACCCUGGUAGGAUUUAAAAGCGGGACUAGUAAAGCUA
rnacentral:rRNA from 1 species